rnacentral:rRNA from 1 species
AUGGACGAGACUGCUUCAGGGUCGGGCACGACGGCCUCCGACCUAGAAGCCAUGAUGGAGGAGCUUGGACUGAAAGAGGACGAGCUUGAGGAUGUAGUGGUGGAAGAUGACGAGUUGCCAGCGGAGGCGACGCGAUGGAUGACCAUUGCUAGGGUUCACACCGAGAAAAGCUACAGCCAGUACUGGUUCUAUCGAGGUAUGAGGGUUGCUUGGGAUCUAGCGAAGGAAGUCAAGAUCAAACCGCUUGAAGAGAAUCUGUACACCAUGCAAUUUGGUUGCUUGGGUGACUGGGAACGGGUCAUGGAGGAGGGACCCUAG